CAGCAAUACUGGAGGCCAAGAUGCAGGAACCAUUGGAGGAAAUCAGAAGACUGCAUACCUCGAUUAACAUGGCAAAACCAAACCAGCCUCAACAACAGAACAAAACCCAGGUACAACAAACCAAGACCAAACUAUCGACAAGGACAGGGUUACCAACAACAACACGCUUUUGUACCGCAACAACAAUACAUUCAACAACAGCCAGUGUAUAAUGGACAACAGUACAGCCAACCAAUGCCAGCAGCAGUACAGAAUCCAUAUCACCAGCAACAACAACAACAACAAGAUGAUGGUUCAUGUCAAAAUUGUGGUAUGUUUUGUGGUACUAAUUGCCCAGCAAGAAAUAAAGAAUGUUUUAAUUGUCAUAAGAUAGGGCAUUAUGGUCGUAAAUGCAGAGGUUCUCAAAAAUCUGGU
rnacentral:lncRNA from 1 species